UACGUAGGGUGCAAGCGUUGUCCGGAAUUAUUGGGCGUAAAGAGCUCGUAGGCGGUUCGUCACGUCGGCUGUGAAAACCCGAGGCUCAACCUCGGGCCGCAGUGGGUACGGGCAGACUAGAGUGCGGUAGGGGAGAUUGGAAUUCCUGGUGUAGCGGUGGAAUGCGCAGGAUAUCAGGAAGAACACCCGUGGCUAAGGCGGCUCUCUAGUACGGUACUGACGCUGAGACGCGAAAAGCGUGGGGGAGCGAACAGG
rnacentral:rRNA from 1 species